UUUACUCUUAAUAAUUUAGGACACUUAUCAUAAUAGCGCGCACGGACAAAUUUGGAUUGAAUUUAUCUGAUUUGCCAACUUGAAGAGGCAAAUUGACCUUAAUAUUCGAAUUUGAGCUUGAUUAGCCACCAGUGCCAAUUUAAGGGGGCAAAAUGACCUUUUUUUCCACAAAUCAUUUCAUCCAGAUUUUAAAAGGCUUAUUUGAGAACCAGACUCAUUGAGGUUCCUGUCUAUUAGGAGCCAUUUUCCACAUGUUUAUCUCUAAAAAUGCAAUCUCCCCUUCACUUUUUUUCAAAUUUCUCUUUUCCAGGGGAACAAGAAAAAGAAAUCUGAUUUAGAUAAAUCAAUAUAAAUCUCUUACUACUUGAGAAGAAU
rnacentral:misc_RNA from 1 species